AUAUGAAUUAUCUGCUUCGCAGAUAUGAAUUAUUGGCCUUUGGCCAAUAUGAAUUAUUCGCUCCGCGAAUAUGAUAUAUACU
rnacentral:misc_RNA from 1 species